rnacentral:misc_RNA from 1 species
UUACAAUGUUUCUACAUCAGGCUAAAUGCCUAAAGCAUAUUUUGUUAGUUGGCAUGUGCACAAGGUCCCACUAUUGCACGCAUUGGUAUGUACAGGUUUUUGGGUCAAGUAGCGAGUUUUGGUAAAUAUACUCUCUUGAAUCUAUAAUACAAUAAAUAUAAACAAACUAAGCACAACUUAUCUGUCUUUGCUUUGUCAUCUUCUCCAAGUUCUCGGAAACAGCAGCAGUCAAAUUAGGGUCCCCAACUCCGAGCUCUUCACUUAAUUUUGGAUCGAGCACCAAUUUCAGUACUUCCUUUAUAACUGAGCUUGCUGCAUAUAGUGCAAUUUUUCCAACCUCCAGCACUUGCAGUUUUGCUUCAUGAUCAUUAGGAAGACACCUGAUAUCUGCAGCCAUUCUUGCAGCCUCACCAACACUUUCAGGAGAUAAGAAAUCAAGACCCAAUUGGACAUUGGACUGAAGAUUCAUGACUUGAAAAGGGCAUCCUGAAGGGAUAAAAACGGCUUCGCCCAAACGCUGCUCGAAUGUCCAAGGCUCUACCCCAAAUUCAUCUUUCAGUUUCUCUUUAUGAUGUCCAUCGAGGUACAAUGCUCCGUCAUAAAGAGGCCGCAUAAUAAGAUCAUUG